rnacentral:rRNA from 1 species
UACGUAGGGUGCGAGCGUUAAUCGGAAUUACUGGGCGUAAAGCGUGCGUAGGUGGUGAGUUAAGUCUGUCGUGAAAGCCCCGGGCUCAACCUGGGAAUGGCGAUGGAUACUGGCUCGCUAGAGUCCGGAAGAGGAGAGUGGAAUUCCCGGUGUAGCGGUGAAAUGCGCAGAUAUCGGGAAGAACACCCGUGGCGAAGGCGGCUCUCUGGGACGGUACUGACGCUGAGACGCGAAAGCGUGGGGAGCGAACAGG